GAUGAAGAACGUAGUGAAAUGCGAUAAGUAGUGUGAAUUGCAGAAUUCAGUGAAUCAUCGAAUCUUUGAACGCACAUUGCGCCCUUUGGUAUUCCAAAGGGCAUGCCUGUUCGAGCGUCAUUUGUACCCUCAAGCUUUGCUUGGUGUUGGGCGUCUUGUCUCUAGCUUUGCUGGAGACUCGCCUUAAAGUAAUUGGCAGCCGGCCUACUGGUUUCGGAGCGCAGCACAAGUCGCACUCUCUAUCAGCAAAGGUCUAGCAUCCAUUAAGCCUUUCUUUCAACUUUUGACCUCGGAUCAGGUAGGGAUACCCGCUGAACUUAAGCAUAUCAAUAAGCGGAGGA
rnacentral:misc_RNA from 1 species